rnacentral:rRNA from 1 species
GUAGGUGGCAAGCGUUGUCCGGAUUUAUUGGGCGUAAAGCGAACGCAGGCGGGAGAACAAGUCAGCUGUGAAAGCCCUCGGCUUAACCGAGGAACGGCAACUGAAACUGUUUUUCUUGAGUGCAGGAGGGGAGAGUGGAACUCCAUGUGUAGCGGUGAAAUGCGUAGAUAUAUGGAAGAACACCAGUGGCGAAGGCGGCUCUCUGGUCUGUAACUGACGCUGAGGUUCGAAAGCAUGGGUAGCGAACAGGAUUAGAUACCCUGGUAGUCCAUGCCGUAAACGAUGAGUGCUAAGUGUUGGGAGGUUUCCGCCUCUCAGUGCUGCAGCUAACGCAUUAAGCACUCCGCCUGGGGAGUACGACCGCAAGGUUA